CCUACGGGAGGCUGCAGUGGGGGAUAUUGCACAAUGGGGGAAACCCUGAUGCAGCGACGCCGCGUGCGUGAAGAAGUAUUUCGGUAUGUAAAGCUCCAUUAGCAGGGAAGAAAAUGACAGUACCUGACCAAGAAGCCCCGGCUCACUACGUGCCAGCAGCCGCGGUAAUACGUCGGGGGCCACGGUUAUCCGGAUUUACUGGGUGAAAAGGGGGCUUAGUCGGUUUUGUAAGUCUGGUGUAAAAGUCCGGGCCCAACCCCGGGACUGCAGUGGAAACUGGGGAACGGGAGUACAGGACGAGCAGGCGGAAUGCGUGGUGUAGCGGUGAAAUGCGUAGAUAUCAGGAGGAACACCGACUGCGAAGGCAGCCUGCUGGACUGAGACUGACGUUGAGGCACGAAAGCGUGGGGAGCAAACAGGAUUAGAUACCCUUGUAGUC
rnacentral:rRNA from 1 species